rnacentral:rRNA from 1 species
AAGCUCUCUUUGUAGCAAUACACUGCCAGUAAGGUGCUGCAUGGCUGUCGUCAGCUCGUGCCGUGAGGUGUUGGGUUAAGUCCCGCAACGAGCGCAACCCUUAUCCCCAGUUGCCAUCAUUUAGUUGGGCACUCUGGUGAAACCGCCUCGGAUAACGGGGAGGAAGGUGGGGAUGACGUCAAGUCCUCAUGGCCUUUAUGUCCAGGGCUACACACGUGCUACAAUGGCCGGUACAAACCGUCGCAAACCCGCGAGGGGGAGCUAAUCGGAAAAAGCCGGCCUCAGUUCGGAUUGCAGUCUGCAACUCGACUGCAUGAAGCUGGAAUCGCUAGUAAUCGCGGAUCAGAACGCCGCGGUGAAUACGUUCCCGGGCCUUGUACACACCGCCCGUCACAUCACGAAAGUGGGUUGCACUAGAAGCCGGUGAGCUAACCGAAAGGAAGCAGCCGUCCAAGGUGUAAUUCAUGAUUGGGGUGAAGUCGUAACAAGGUAGCCGUAA